UUUAUGUCCAUUUAAUCAAAAUACUAUCUGUCCAUAUUAUUGAGCUUGCCACCUAAUGGCGAAAUUUCUAAAAACAGUAAGUAUAUUUGACGCAUCUGCACCCAUUUUCAAAAUUUGACAUUUGCUUUGCACUUUGUAAUAGUUGUUCCCCAGCAAUUUUAAUUAAGUUCACUUCGUUUUUAUUCCUCAGUUUUUCUUCUGACUUUUAAUGGGCAAUAUUGGAAUCUAAAUGUGAAUAUGUUUUUAUUUUUAGAUAGUCCGCCUUCAUGAGGAAAUUUAAAAUAGUGCAUCAUAUAAUAUGAGGAGGGAGAAACUUUUAGAAAUAUAUGUUUGUGGAUGUUUGAUGCUAAUACAAAAGUUGCAAUUGCUAUGAAGAAGUUUCCAACAAAUAAGAACAGAAGUAUGAAGAAGAACCGGCUCAAUAUUCAGCAGAUUCUACUUGGUUUGGUAAAUCUCAAAAUAAAAGGCCUGUAAAAUUAGGGGGCCCCAUUUUCUCAAGGUUAUUUCUCCUGAAUUUUAUCUUUUUUGCGCCAAAUUUCUGAAAAGGUCCUGAAGUUAUGUUGCAAAUUUUCUACUACAUACUACAGCAUGCGUUGUUUCUCUUAUACCAUGUUAAUAAGUUUGUGUGCAUAUAUAUUCAAGCUAGAAAAUGUUCAUUUGAAUCACUGCAAAUUGGAAGUCUGUUUUGGGAAAAUAAAUUACCUGUUUGGUUUCCUGUCAAAUAAUUGGAAGUGAUUUUAUUUUCAGUAAAAAAAUCAUGAUAUCUUUCUUCUGUUUCAUCCAGUUGGUAUGCUUGAUAAUAUCUAUACCCACUACUCCAAAACAAUCAUUUUAAGGUUGAUAUGUACUUCACAACAAAAGAACCUCAUGUGCAAUUGAAUAUGUCUGGAUGAACUUUGCAUUAAAAAAAAUAACUCGGUUAUUUGUGACUUGACUUAGUUUCCCAGACCGUGCUAAGCUUUGUCAGCAGUUCAAAUAGAAUUGAUCUUCGAUUUGCAUGUUGAUUGCUUUAAUGAGCUCGAUUUAGAACAAAGGCUGGUUGACGCCAAGCUGCCUCUCCCAAAUAUAGUGAAACCUCUAGUUGCAUGUGGUGUAGCUGAUGCUCACAGUAUGAUGCUAUGUGAUGGAUUAUUUUCAGCUGAUUAUUAGACUCUUCCGAAGUUAAAUAUGAAAUUAAGUGUUGUUGCUGGAAUAUGUGGAUCAUUCAUCUUUGCUAUAUAAAUUCUACGCCUUGGGAGGGAAGAUAUUUUAUGCAGUUAAGAAGUCCACACCUAAUUCAGAUACCUUGGCAAAAUCAUCUGAGGAGAAGGGACUCAAACCUUUGCUCUUUGAUAGGCAUUAUUUGUUCUCACUUUUCCUUGUCUUUGUUGUCGUAUGGUUAUGCUGAUUGGUCAUGAUGUGCCAUACACUGACAAAUAAAAACAUCUGUUUUGUUGCAGCUGAAAAUCGCUACCUAUUGCUAAAGAUAACCCACAAUCUCGUGACCAACAUAUUGAUCUUGGCCUUGUUACUGAUGAUGCAGAUUGGCUUAGAAGGAUGCUUGGCCUCACAAUUUUUUGCUUUGAUAUUGUCAGUCAAGAGAGCACUGGUGACCAUGUGAUUGUGGAUGUGAAUUACCUCCCUUCAUUCAAGGAAGUUCCUGAUGACAUUGCACUGCCUACCUUUUGGGAAGCUCUAAAGGAGAAGAUUGAUUCAGAAAAGGGUAAACAACCUACAAAAGCUUCUUGAUCAAAUCGGGGAUUCGUGGAUAUAAAGGUAAUUGUAGUAAGUCAGCUAAAACCAUUUUGGCAUAUGUUUGGUACUUUGAUACAGACAAAUCAGAGACAUUCUACAUCAACAAGAUUGCUGUAUGUCUUGUCAGCUAAAAAGUAAAAACUGUACAAUGAUGAGCUUCAGAGCCCUCUGUGGCCCGAGCUCACUUGUUCUAUCGUAAUUACAAACUUGCUAGAUAUAAAUAACCCCAGUAGAAUGGACUACAAAACUGUUAAGAUCACUUGGAUUGUUUCUCGUGAUAUCUUUCGUCAUUCUGCUGCCAGAUUCAAUCAGUUUUUCCAUUGAAUCGAGUGAGACGAAGAAUACUUGAUAGCUAUUCUGGCAGAGAUGCUGAAGUUGAAUUGCCUUUUGAGCUGUUCGAUCCAGAAUGUACUUGAUGGUCACUCACGAUUUCCUGCAUAAGCACCCGCAGAUUAUUUCUAUAAUUUCUGCAUUCAUCAAAAAUUCCUGAAAGGUUCAUACAUAAUUUCCAAUGAAGUAGUACUAGCCAUUACUCAAAUACUAGCAUUGAUUUGCUUUCCGCAUCGACAGUUUUUUUCAGACAUGGGGUAAAAUAUGCUACACUCCGAGAA